UUUGACAGUCCAAAUAUUCGAUAGCAAAAAUGACGUGGAGAGAUAGGUUAUAAGUUUGUUGUCGAUAAAUUAACUAAUUUAAUAGGUCAUUAGGAACCUAUUUCAAUAAUUAAAGUAAUAACAAUAAAGUAUUUACCACGAUGAUUGAGAUAAGCGAUGUACAAAAGAUUGGUGUGGGGCUGGCGGGGUUUGGCAUGGCCUUCCUGUUCCUAGGAGUCUUGCUGCUCUUUGACAAGGGUCUGCUAGCUAUAGGAAAUAUCCUAUUCAUCAGUGGUCUAGCCUGCGUGAUCGGGCUCCAGCGGACAUUUUUCUUUUUCUUUCAACGCCACAAAAUUAAGGCGUCUGUGGCCUUCUUCGGAGGAAUCACAAUUGUGCUGCUGGGCUGGCCUAUGGUUGGCAUGAUCGCUGAGAUCUACGGGUUCCUACUACUGUUCAGAGGUUUUCUGCCAGCUGCCCUUAAUUUCCUCCGCAUGGUGCCCGGGUUCGGUCUGCUGCUGAACCUGCCUAUCAUAAGUGGGGUCGUCAACCGGAUAGCGGGCGACAACGGCCGUAACAUGGUAUGAUAGUGCGUUACCAAAGACUGCUAAGUGUCGGACUGUAAAUAUGGGUGUGCAGAUAUAUGUGAGGGCCUAGCACAGUGACAAUCCAUUACAGAAAACGCCAAUUGAAACGUAAACGUUCGACGACCGAUCUGGCCUAGUGGGUAGUGACCCUGCCUAUGAAGCCGAUGGUCCCGGGUUCUAAUCCCGGAUGAGCCCUAAUGCAAUAUUCGACUCGGAAGAAAAAACAUUCCUUUACAAAAGACAAUAAAUUAUUUUACUUUUA